UACGUCGGCAAGGCCUCGAACCCGGGUCAACUGUUUGUGAAAGAGCUAUUCUGACCGUUGAACUACCGGCGC